AUUGAACGCUGGCGGCAGGCCUAACACAUGCAAGUCGAACGAGUGGCGGACGGGUGAGUAAUGUCUGGGAAACUGCCUGAUGGAGGGGGAUAACUACUGGAAACGGUAGCUAAUACCGCAUACCAUCAGAUGUGCCCAGUUGGGAUUAGCUUGUUGGUGGGGUAACGGCUCACCAAGGCGACGAUCCCUAGCUGGUCUGAUAGGAUGAUCAGCUACACUGCAACUGAGACACGGUCCAGACGCCUACGGGAGUCAGCAGUGGAGAAUAGUGGACAAUGGGCGCAAGCCUGAUGCAGCCAUGCCGCGUGUAUUAAGAAGGCCUUCGGGUUGUAAAGUACUUUCAGCUGGUAGGGGUUGGGCGCAGAAGAAGCACCGGCUAACUCCGUGCCAGCAGCCGCGGUAAUUC
rnacentral:rRNA from 1 species